rnacentral:rRNA from 1 species
GACGAACGCUGGCGGCGUGCUUAACACAUGCAAGUCGAACGGGAUUCUGGGGUUCUGGCUUUUUUGGUUGGGGUUCUGGGGGUUAGUGGCGAACGGGUGAGUAACACGUGAGUAACCUGCCCUUCACUUUUGGAUAACCGCUUGAAAGGGUGGCUAAUACGGGAUGUUUCUGGGUCUGUCGCAUGGCGGGUUCGGGGAAGAUGGCACUGUUUGGUGUUUUUGGGGGGGGGUGGGCUCGCGGCCUAUCAGCUUGUUGGUGGGGUGAUGGCGUGCCAGGGCUUGGGCGGUUAGCCGGCCUGGGAGGGUGGGCGGUCACAGUGGGAGUGAGACACGGCUCAGACUGCGACGGGAGGCAGCAGUGGGGAAGAUGGAGCGAUGGGGGGAAGCGUGAUGCAGGCACGAGGCGUGUGCAAUGGCGGCGUGUGGGUGGUGACCGUCUUUCGGCUGUGAGGAAGGUUUUGCAGGUGUGGUGGGUUUUAUGGUGGUUGGGGUAAUUGAAGCGCCGGCUAACUACGUG